GGGAAAUGGUCCCACUAUUGCAGGGAACUCUCCUGACUUAAACACCCCCUGGGUGGAAUCAAAAAGCAGAAGGAUCUGAGUCCUCGUUGGCUGCCCCCCUCCUCCGAGUUGCCCCCUUUGCCCCUUUUUAACCACUGUAAAAAGCACUCAGCACAGUCUUACACUUAAUAAAUGCAGGGUGAAGGGCAGUGCCUUCAGAAGAUGUUACUGUGCACACUCAGUCCACCAUAAGUAGCACAUUCCUCCAGGGAGCAGUUUUCUGUACUGCACCCGUGGGAGAGUUAAUUAAUCCACCCCAAUGGGCGAUAGCAGCUAUGUCUGUGGGAGAAGCUAAAAUAAAUAAAUGCCAAUUGACUCUCCUUCGGAAGGAGGCAGGAAAUGGGAAAUGCCAGCCAGAGGGGAUUUCCCUGGCAGAUAAGAUUUCCAACUCUCCCGGAACAGGCACCGUUGCUGCAAAUGGUGUCCAGUGCAGGAGAGUAGGCAACCCCACUGGCAGAUGAAAAAUUUUCCCCACAGACCCUAGAAGAGGCUGAAAAGCUGAAGAAUUAUCAGCUCUGGUCUGAGCAUGGGCAGCAGGUAUAGCAGGGCGGGGGAAGGGAGGCUAAGCAAUGGUGGUUGAAGCAUGAAGGGACAGAGGAAUCUUUAGCGCAUCUGGCAUGUAAAUAUCUUGUGACUCCGGCUGCAACAGUGUCAUAAGAUUGCCUCUUCUCACUUGCAGCAUUACCUCCUGCAAAUGGAAACAAACUUGUUUGUCUAAGCGAUUGGCUGAACAAGAAGUGGAACUGAGUGGACGUACAGGCUCUGAAAUUUUACAUUGUUUUAUUUUUGAAUGCAGUUCUGUGAUGUCCUAUUGGCGCUGAUCCUCAGUUGAAUCAAACAAGCUGGUGUCCCAACGGCUUACCUGGGAAUUUCUGAGUAUCCAGUGGAGAGCGGCUGGACACUACAGAAGGACACGUCAGAGGGGCUGGAGACGAGGUUGCACCUAGUGUUAUUCUGCAAGGCAAAGAUGUCAGAGGCACCUCGAGCAGACACGUGGCUCCUUCUCACUUCCCCUCACACUUCUUGAGACUGGGCAGGGGUUGGACACCAGGUGAAAGCCACGUCUCCCCUCAGCACAGUGUGGACAGGAGCCACAUUUCUGCUACUUUCACUUUGUUCAAGUUAACCUUGAGGUUCUCACCCUGUGAACAAACCAGAGGAUUUACUCAUCCCGGGGGAAAGAUUAUGAACUUGUUACAUCCCUGGGGGACUGGCUGCCUGUAGACACUGGGAUAUAAUAUCGGCCUUUCACUGCUAGGUCUCUGCUUACCAUAGGCGCUGACUUUUCUGUCCCCAGAGGGCUCCACCCCUGCUCUGCCCUCAGGCCCCGCCCGCACUAUGCCACUCCCCUGAGGCCCUGCCCUCGCUCCAUCUCUUCCUGAACCCAUUCCACCUCCUCCCUUAAGGUCUUGCCCUCUGUCUGCCUCUUCCCGCCCCUGCUCCAACCCCUCCCCGAAACCAUAGCCAAUCUGCAGCUCGCUGCUUUCCACCCUCCUCCAGGCACCUCCCCUAGCCACCAAACAGCUCAUUGGCAGUCCCGCAGAACAGCUGUGGCUGGUGGGUGCUGAGCUCCCCCUAUAUUUUUUCCAUGGGGGUUUGAGCUCCGGAGCACCCAUGGGGUCAGCACCUCUGCUGUUUAGAAUCAUGGUACUGAGCAUUGACCAAGUAUAAAGAGUGACUUACAAUGAAACUUAGCCCACGUCCUGCUGUCAAUGGACAAAUCGGUAAGGCCUAAAUUUACAGCAGUGGCCUAAUUGUGUGUGUCUCAGUUUAUCUCCUCGAAAUACAGGAGUUCAGGGCACAUUUUCCACCUGCAUUCGCAGCAGCAGCCGGAGUCAGUGGGCGCUGUGGGUUCCCAGCCCCUUGGAGAACCAGCCCCUAAGCACUUAGGUCAGGACCCAAAUUUGGACCCUAAAUCAAAAGACAGUCUUGACAUUUGGACCCAGCCCAUCAUUGUGCUCUAGCUCCUGUGCCGGCUAGCACGGCUGUUUGUGCCUCCUCCCCAGCAGCUGCAGGCACAGGGAGUGCGGCUGGGAGGGGCAGGAGGGAGUGGGGUUGGGGCAGGGACAGGCUGGAGGAGGAAGGGGUGGAAGGGAUAGAAGGAUUUGGCCAGGGUGAAGCUGCACCUCUUGUACUCUGCACCCUGGCAAAGCCCCUUAGAACCAUUAAACCAGGGAUGCAGCUCUGGCUGGAGCUCGGGACUUGCCUAGCUGCUGCUAAGGUCUGCACUGGCCCUUGCAGCCACCGAAUAGGGGCCUAUUGAACCAGCGUGCUCCCUGCCUCAGUUUCCCUAUCUAUACAAUGCUUGUGUGUUUCUUCGCAUUACAGUCUAUGGAGGACGAGAUCCCCAUCAUGCUGAGCUCUGAGCAGACCCAAAAAUUAAAUUAAAUGAAGUAGACCUGAAAAGCUUUCGAUUCAGUGUCCCAAACCUGAAAGGUCUCAGCGUCCCACUGAUGCCAAAGGGACCGGAGUGGGUAAAGUUACAGUCACAAUUUACUGAGAAAGGGGCAGAGCACAAAAAGGUCAAUGUCUUCUCUGUCAUCAUGAACUCUAUUCAAUCAGGUCUUACACAUCGAUUUGAGUCACUGCAACGAAUUUGUACCCUUUUUGGGUUUCUUUGGCAGUUCAACAGACUGAGUAAUGAAGAUCUACUUUCUGCAGCUGAACAAUUUCAGCAAACCGUACAACAAAGAAAUCUCUAAGGGCUGGUCCCCACUU